rnacentral:rRNA from 1 species
CAGCCGCCGCGGUAAUACGUAGGGUGCGAGCGUUAAUCGGAUUUACUGGGCGUAAAGCGUGCGCAGGCGGCCCGUUAAGACAGGUGUGAAAUCCCUGGGCUCAACCUAGGAAUUGCGCUUGUGACUGGCGGGCUCGAGUACGGUAGAGGGGGGUGGAAUUCCUGGUGUAGCAGUGAAAUGCGUAGAGACCAGGAGGAACACCGAUGGCGAAGGCAGCCCCCUGGGCCUGUACUGACGCUCAUGCACGAAAGCGUGGGGAGCAAACAGGAUUAGAUACCCUGGUAGUCCACGCCCUAAACGAUGGGUACUAGCCGUUUGGUGCGCGAUAGCGCUGAGUGGCGAAGCUAACGCGUGAAGUACCCCGCCUGGGGAGUACGGCCGCAAGGUUGAAACUUAAAGGAAUUGGCGGG